rnacentral:lncRNA from 1 species
AGGCAAUCCAAGGUCUGAAUAUAAGUUUUGAACAAGCUCCAGAGCACAACCAGGGCGAAUCUUUGGUUUCACUCUACAACAUCACAUGCAAGAAGAUAUUCCUGUGUACUUAAAUCUCUUUCUGGAGUCCAGGUCUUUUCAUCUCAAGCCUACUUUGUUUCACAGGUGAUAAAGAGAGAGAACUGCACUGCAGUGUGCUCUCUGAAGAGGCCACUUAGGAGACAAUAAAGAAUCAUGGGCUAUCUGAGGUAAUGAAGGUAUGACAAGAAUGAAAACUUCAUACCAUCAAGCAGGCAAGAUUCCUACUGCUCAUGGGACAGUGUGACCCAAAGCUCAGUGUCAGUGCUGAGAUAAGAACUACAAGCCUUACCAGAUCCUCUCCUGAAGGAGCCAUAGAAAAUGAUGGUAUUGCUUCACGACCAAAAGUACUACUGAUUUGA